GUGUCUUGCUAAAGGACACAACAGCAGAAUUUUCUGCCAGGAGCUGGGAUUGAUCCAGCAACCCUCCAUUGUCUGGGUAACCUGAUAAAUAUCCUGAGCUACUGCUGCCUCUGUGGGUGGAGCUCUGAAAAGAUGGGGUGUCAGGACCCCUUGUAAGGGUGAGUUGGUCCCUGAGUGACCAAAGCAAGACAAUAAUUUAAAAGAGAAACUAAAAAAAUGAAAAUGCACGAAACUACACCAGGUCACAUAAACAAUAAGACAUCUCCUGAACAAAAGAGUCAGUCACCUAAAACGCAAAGGUACCAAAGUUGGAGCCCUGAGGAACACCACAGGUCAAAGUGAGUGUUACCCAGGAUCCCUGUGUUUCCAACAGAGAAAAGGAGAUUCUUUAGACUCCUGUUCUGAAACAAGAACAAACCCCCUCACUUCACAAAGAUUUAUAAUGACGCUGAUAGCUGAACCAGGAGGAAGGGGAGCUGAGAGAAGAGAAACAACAGAUGAAGGAGGAGACGGAGAGAUUCAGGGAGGAGCUGAGCUGUUACUGAACUAUAGAACAGACGCAAACUUCCACAUUCAACACAGUUCAACAUACAAACAACAAACAUUCACUCUGUUCAACAUGGACUGUUGUGGGCUUUCUCUGCUGGUUGUCACUAUUCUAACAGGAGUCAGCUGUGAACAGCUGACUGCAGUGAAGAAUGAAGAGUCCAGUUUAGAAGGAGCCCAUGUUACUCUGUCCUACAAUUACUCUAGAGAUGCUGCUAUUGGUGAUUAUUUCUUCUGGUACCGGCAAGAUCCAGGAGAACCUCCAGAGUUCCUGAUCUCUCACACAGGAACAGAAACACUUCUAUUACAGAAAGUGUCUGGACUGAGUUUUACUGUGAGUGAUGAUAAAAGACGCGUGGACCUGCUGAUCUCCUCUGCUGCAGCGACAGACUCUGCUGUGUACUACUGUGCUGUGAGGCCCACAGUGACAGGAAACAGUAAAAGUGUGUAGAAAACCUGCAGAGCAAAGACAACACAAUACUCCACAACAUCCACUAGAGGGACUCACACAGUGGGAACCCACUGGUUGUUGAGUCGUUGGACUGAUGACAAAGACAACAGACACAUGAAGCAGCAGAAACAAGCCAUGGGCUCCACCAACAAGAUCAUCCAGGAACAGAGUGGAGUUGUUGCAGAGGGAACAGGCAUCAGCUUGAGCUGUGAGUACGACGG